GUGGGGAAUCUUGCGCAAUGGGCGAAAGCCUGACGCAGCCAUGCCGCGUGAAUGAUGAAGGUCUUAGGAUUGUAAAAUUCUUUCACCGGGGACGAUAAUGACGGUACCCGGAGAAGAAGCCCCGGCUAACUUCGUGCCAGCAGCCGCGGUAAUACGAAGGGGGCUAGCGUUGCUCGGAAUUACUGGGCGUAAAGGGCGCGUAGGCGGACCGUUUAGUCAGAGGUGAAAGCCCAUGGCUCAACCUUGGAAUUGCCUUUGAUACUGGCUGUCUUGAGUACGGGAGAGGUGAGUGGAACUCCGAGUGUAGAGGUGAAAUGCGUAGAUAUUCGGAAGAACACCAGUGGCGAAGGCGACUCACUGGCCCGUUACUGACGCUGAGGCGCGAAAGCGUGGGGAGCAAACAGGAUUAGAAACCCUUGUAGUCC
rnacentral:rRNA from 1 species